UACGUAGGGUGCAAGCGUUGUCCGGAAUUAUUGGGCGUAAAGAGCUCGUAGGCGGUUCGUCGCGUCGGCUGUGAAAUCCCGGAGCUCAACUCCGGGUCUGCAGUCGAUACGGGCGGACUUGAGUUCGGCAGGGGAGACUGGAAUUCCUGGUGUAGCGGUGAAAUGCGCAGAUAUCAGGAGGAACACCGGUGGCGAAGGCGGGUCUCUGGGCCGAUACUGACACUGAGGAGCGAAAGCGUGGGGAGCGAACAGG
rnacentral:rRNA from 1 species